CAUGAUGGACAUGUAGCGUGAGCAAGAAAUGAUCCUGACAGGCUGAACAAAGAUGCUUGCUCUCUGUUGUGAUGUUUGACAAGGGAAUCUUCCUUCAUUUUCUCCUCUGAUGAGCCUCUCUACCAGAUAAGCAGCAGCAGGAACCAAACGUUUAAGAAAAAUGUAAAGACAUUAUUUUGUCCAUCACUUAACAUUUUUAUGAACAAGUUGGGAGGUAGCCUGCAUGAAUGCCUCUGUGCAAUGGAAUGAAUGGCCGGAGAUCUCACCAUCCCAGGAUGACUUUGGGGAAGGAAGACCCAAACAGCCCACUAUCACAUGCUGUCCUGCCUGCCUCAGGCCUCCUGUCCUUCUCUCCCUUGUGACCUGCAAACUAACCUUGAGGACUCAUGUCAACUGUCACUGCAUUGGAAGCCCUCUGUGAUAGUUAAUAUUGAGUGUCAACUUGAUUGGAUUGAAGGAUGCAAAGUAUUGUUCCUGGGUGUGUCUGUGAGGGUGUGGCCAAAGGAGAUUAACAUUUGAAUCAGUGGCCUGGGAGAGGCAGACGCACCCUCAAUCUGGGUGGGCACCAUCUAAUCAGCUGCCAACACGGCUAGAAUUAAGCAGGCAGAAGAACUUGGAAGGACUAGACUUGCUGAGUCUUCCAGCCUUCACUCCCUUCCAUGGUCUUUCUCCCGUGCUGGAUGCUUCCUGCCCUUGAACAUCAGACUCCAAGUUCUUCAGCUUUUGGACUCUUGGACUUACACCAGUGGUUUGCCAGGGGCUCUCAGGCCUCCGGCCACAGACUAAAAGCUGCGCUGUCAGCUUCCCUACUUUUGAGGUUUUGAGACUCUGGCUGGCUUCUUUGCUAAUCAGCUUGAAAACAGCCUGUUGUGGGACUUCACCUUGUGUUCGUGUGAGUCAAUACUCCUUAAUAAACUCCCCUGCAUAUAUACAUCUAUCCUAUUAGCUCUGUCUCUCUGGAGAACCCUGACUAAUACAACCUCCCUUUCCUGCCAGGCUGGGCUCCUGUCUGCCUCAUUCUCUUGCCCUGUUGCCCAGGCUAGAGUAUAGUGGCACCAUCAUUGCUCACUGCAGCCUCGACCUCUCAGUCUCAAGUGAUUUUCCUGCCUCAGCCUCUGCAGUAGCUAGGACUACAGGCAUACGCCAC
rnacentral:lncRNA from 1 species